AAAUUGAAGAGUUUGAUCAUGGCUCAGAUUGAACGCUGGCGGCAGGCCUAACACAUGCAAGUCGAACGGUAGCACAGAGAGCUUGCUCUCGGGUGACGAGUGGCGGACGGGUGAGUAAUGUCUGGGAAACUGCCUGAUGGAGGGGGAUAACUACUGGAAACGGUGGCUAAUACCGCAUAACGUCGCAAGACCAAAGAGGGGGAUCUUCGGGCCUCUUGCCAUCAGAUGUGCCCAGAUGGGAUUAGCUUGUUGGUGAGGUAACGGCUCACCAAGGCGACGAUCCCUAGCUGGUCUGAGAGGAUGACCAGCCACACUGGAACUGAGACACGGUCCAGACUCCUACGGGAGGCAGCAGUGGGGAAUAUUGCACAAUGGGCGCAAGCCUGAUGCAGCCAUGCCGCGUGUAUGAAGAAGGCCUUCGGGUUGUAAAGUACUUUCAGCGGGGAGGAAGGUGUUGUGGUUAAUAACC
rnacentral:rRNA from 3 species